AUUGAACGCUGGCGGUAGGCCUAACACAUGCAAGUCGAACGAGUGGCGGACGGGUGAGUAAUGUCUGGGAAACUGCCUGAUGGAGGGGGAUAACUACUGGAAACGGUAUCUAAUACCGCAUACCAUCGGAUGUGCCCAUAUGGGAGUAGCUAGUAGGUGGGGUAAAGGCGCACCAAGGCUACGCUCCCUAGCUGGUCUGAGAGGAUGACCAGACAAACUGGGACUGAGACACGGCCCAGACUCCUACGGGAGGCAGCAGUGGGGAAUAUUGCACAAUGGGCGCAAGCCUGAGGCAGCCAUGCCGCGUGUAUGAAGAAGGCCUUCGGGUUGUAAAGUACUUUCAGCGGGGAGGCGUUACCGACAGAAGAAGCACCGGCUAACUCCGUGCCAGCAGCCGCGGUAAUAC
rnacentral:rRNA from 1 species